rnacentral:rRNA from 1 species
GAUGAACGCUGACAGAAUGCUUAACACAUGCAAGUCGAUGGGGAAGUGGUGCUUGCACCAUGGCAACCAUGGCGGACGGGUGAGUAACGCGUAAGGGACUUACCUGCAGGACUGGGAUAACAGGGGGAAACUCCUGACAAGACCGGAUAAUGUCAUGGAGCUGCAUGGCUUUAUGAUGAAAGGAGACGCCUGCGGAGAGCCUUGCGUCCUAUUAGCUAGUUGGUGAGGUAAUGGCUCACCAAGGCGAAGAUAGGUAGCCGGCCUGAGAGGGUGGACGGCCACAAGGGGACUGAGAUACGGCCCUUACUCCUACGGGAGGCAGCAGUGGAGAAUAUUGGACAAUGGGGGCAACCCUGAUCCAGCAAUUCUGUGUGCACGAAGAAGGUUUUCGGAUUGUAAAGUGCUUUCAGCAGGGAAGAAGUAAGUGGCGGUACCUGCAGAAGAAGCGACGGCUAAAUACGUG